GGUGGCGGCGUCUCUGGACCUGGAGACCCAGGCCUGCUGCAGUUCACGCCCAGCCUCCUCUCCCCCCCGCCGUAGCUUCGCCGCCGCUGGCCCCGCACCCGCCGGGCCUGCCUCCGAGGCUGCGGGAUGAUGAGAGCGGCUCGGAGCUGCCGGGCCUCCCGGCCCGCUGGGACCAACACCCGGAAGGCCUGGUCGGCCGCAUGCGCGGUGAGAGGGGCCGGAGCCUGAGAGGACCGUACCUGCUCCCGCCUCGGCCCGCGCAUCGCUGCACCGUAGUGCGACGGCUGUCCCAGAUGAAGAUUCCAGGAUGACUUUGAAGUGGAGCUUUUUGGUGAGGAUUCUGGGGUCAUGACAGUGAUGGAACACAACCACCGUGGGACCUGGUUGCCCCCAAGUGUUCCUGUCAGUGUCUGCUACCGAAGAGUCUGAGGAUACCAGGUUGUUGCUGUGCUUUAGACAAGAUCUGUCACCAGUAAAGUUGUCCUUGUCUGUGAUUAUGGAUCUAUAGUUGGGACAGAAACACUGGGAAGAGGCAAGCUGAAAGAACAGAUUAUUUUAGUGGAAAACCAUACCUUUGUAUUUCUGCUAUUGGUGGCACAUGGCAUAGAAGUGACUAGUAAAAGACUUG